rnacentral:lncRNA from 1 species
AAAUGAUCCCUGCUGCUUCUACCUGCCUCUUAAAUAUAUUUCAAACACCGGCAUUCUCCCCAUCACUGCCGCCAACCAACAUCUUAGUUCAACUACCUCUUCUAUUGCCUGGAUCAUUCCAACAGAAACCUCCCUAAAUCUGCCCUACUCUUAUCUUCCUCUGUGUAGAGGAGCACUGUAGAGACAUGAGUGAAUUUUAAAUUAAGCCUGAUCACACCGUCACAGAAUAUCAUGCGCCUUACAGCUUGAUGGUAUGUCCAUUUGCUGUUAGAUCCAUUGCCAAAGAGUCUUGUGCUGCUCUCUAUCACAGGGCGCUUCCUUCCUCCUGGCUGGUUUCCUGGUCAUUUGUGAAAUAUGGGAAGUCAGUAUCCCAACUGUGAUUCCAGCUUCCGCCCAACGUUCAACUUCCUGUGCGGCCGCAGUUAUCACCGGAAAUGCCAAUCACAGCUUUUUCUUGUAUCGGAAGCUCUGCCACACCACCCCCUCUCUGUAUCCCUUCAGCAUAACGGUUUAGAAGCCUGAAAUGUGAGGCGCUGUCACCCACACUGUACUCGGGGCAUACAAGGCAUGAUGACGUCAGACAUCGCUCUUGCAACACUCUCCAGGACCUGAGUCUGCAUUUAGAGCUCAAAGGACAUUGAGUGUUCACAUCUGAUUUUAAGCUGCCCUUCUGCUUUGUGCGAUCACUUUACAAAUGGAAUGAUCCGCCUCGAUAUUGGAGCGGGGGGGGGGGGGGGGGGGCGGAGCUGGAUUUCAAACAGCUCUUCUUUUAGUGU